rnacentral:lncRNA from 1 species
UUUUAAAUAUGCAUUCAAAUUCUUGUUAUGUUGCAGUGCUCUUGAUGCUGGAACGGUGACACCCCGUCCUCUUAUGUUCAUGCCGACUGGGUGAAACCUAUUUGAAUAUUUUCCUGUGUACAAGUUAUGUAUUUCUCCAGUAUGUCCAAGUAUACUACUGUAAAAUGUCCAACUGUCCUAGUACACCUAUUAUUAAAGGUUGAGAAUGUAAAUUUUAAUACAUGUUCUCCUUUCAGAUUAAUCUUGGAAUUUUCAUGGUAGACAAUAAGACAAAAUUUUUGUUUUGGUGGAUCGGUUUGUGGGAGGAUCCAGUGUUGUAGAUGGACAGAGAGAGUUAAUGCUCCAUAG